GUGCAAUGAUGUGUGAAUUUCUUCUGAAAUCAUUUCACCUGAAAUCACUGUGAAGAGUGAGAUCGAGCUUUUUAACCCUGAGUCACA